GGAGUCAAAUAGUGCGUGAAAUUGUUGAAAGGGAAACGAUUGAAGUCAGUCAUGCCGGCGGGAAUCAACUUAGGGGAAACUCUGGGUGCACUUCUUCGUUUGGCAGGUUAGCGUCGAUUUUGGAUGUCAUAAAAUGAUUGGGGGAAGGUAGCUCCUUCGGGAGUGUUAUAGCCCUUGGUAGAUGUGAUGUCUGGGAUCGAGGAUUGCAAUGGAUACCCUUUGGGGCUAGUCGCCUGAUCUCUAAUUGGUGUUGGGUCACGGACAGCAUGCUGACCGUGAUCUAAUUACUGGUUAAAAGGUUAGAGCGUGCAUAAAUUCGUUAAGGACGCUGACGUAAUGGCUUUAAACGA
rnacentral:misc_RNA from 1 species